UGGGGGGAUCUGCAUACAAGGAGUGUUGUUCAUGAUUAAACCAAGUGGAAUGGCUCCGUAGGAAGUGAUCCCUACUCCCAUUCACUGGCAGAGUUAGGCUGAGAGGCAAAAGGAGUGGGAGAUGCUAUAACUGGAUUCUUGAUCACCAUUGCUCUUGGAGGAGGGUGAUCCCGUUCCAGGAAGAUGACUGAUUGCUCCUGCUCCAAGGUUAAGCUGCAGGCCCAUCAUGGGACAACUGCUCCAAAUUGAAGGAUUGUGAGACUCCAAUUGCUUGAAGGGAGUCUUGAUCCCUUGUCAUAAAGAUGCUCAUCAGUCCUGUCCUCCCCUGAAUCCAAGAAAUGAAUCUGGGAAGAUAGAAAGGUGAAGGGCAGGAUCUGGGAGAAGCUGAGAGCAGGAGAAACAUGAUCAAAAUAUAUCGUCUGAGAAUGAUUGUUAAGUAAAGAAGAUUUCUACAAGAGCUGCUACUUGACCAUUCUCACAGGAGCAAGAAUAUCUCAGAGUUGCUUUGAUUUGCAUUUCCCUGCUGGGAUAGCCACCUUCUUAAAGAAGACUAUUUUAAACA